rnacentral:rRNA from 1 species
CGGGACGGGGUGGAGGCGAAUGUCUGGGAAACUGCCCGAUGGAGGGGGAUAACUACUGGAAACGGUAGCUAAUACCGCAUAACGUCGCAAGACCAAAGAGGGGGACCUUCGGGCCUCUUGCCAUCGGAUGUGCCCAGAUGGGAUUAGCUAGUAGGUGGGGUAACGGCUCACCUAGGCGACGAUCCCUAGCUGGUCUGAGAGGAUGACCAGCCACACUGGAACUGAGACACGGUCCAG